rnacentral:rRNA from 1 species
CUCGUAGGUGGCCAACUAAGUCAGACGUGAAAUCCCUCGGCUUAACCGGGGAACUGCGUCUGAUACUGGAUGGCUCGAGUUUGGGAGAGGGAUGCGGAAUUCCAGGUGUAGCGGUGAAAUGCGUAGAUAUCUGGAGGAACACCGGUGGCGAAGGCGGCAUCCUGGACCAACACUGACACUGAGGAGCGAAAGCUAGGGGAGCAAACG